AUUGAACGCUGGCGGCAGGCCUAACACAUGCAAGUCGAACGAGUGGCGGACGGGUGAGUAAUGUCUGGGAAACUUCCUGAUGGAGGGGGAUAACUACUGGAAACGGUAGCUACUACCGCAUACCAUCAGAUGUGCCCAGAUGGGAUUAGCUUGUUGGUGGGGUAACGGCUCACCAAGGCGACGAUCCCUAGCUGGUCUGAGAGGAUGACCAGCAACAUGGGAACUGAAACACGGUCCAGAUUCCUACGGAAGGCAGCAGUGGGGAAGAUUGCACAAUGAGCGCAAGCCGGAUGCAGCCAGGCGGCGUGUAUGAAGAGGGCCUUCGGGUUGUAAAGUACUUUCAGCGGGGAGGCGUUACCCGCAGAGGAAGCACCGGCUAACUCCGUGCCAGCAGCCGCGGUAAUUC
rnacentral:rRNA from 1 species